GGCAGGGUAGCUCAGUUGGUAGAGCGCCAGACUCAUAAUCUGGAGGUCGUGGGUUCGAAACCCACCCCCGCCA
rnacentral:tRNA from 1 species